rnacentral:rRNA from 1 species
UUAGAGUGCUUAAAGCAGGCUACUUUAAUGGCCUGAAUGUCUAUGCAUGGAAUAAUGGAAUAGGACCUCGGUUCUAUUUUGUUGGUUUUCGGAACCUGAGGUAAUGACUAAUAGGAACAGGCGGGGGCAUUCGUAUUGCGACGCUAGAGGUGAAAUUCUUGGACCGUCGCAAGACGAACUACUGCGAAAGCAUUUGCCAAGGAUGUUUUCAUUAAUCAAGAACGAAAGUUAGAGGUUCGAAGGCGAUCAGAUACCGCCUAGUUCUAACCAUAAACGAUGCCAACUAGCGAUCCGCCGGUCGUUACUUCCCAUCGACCCGGCGGCAGCCGUUACCGGGAACCUAAGGUUCGUUUGGGUUACCGGGGAAGUUAGUGGUUGNNNNNNNNNNNNNUUAAAGGAAUUGACGGAAGGGCACCACCAGGAGUGGAGCCUGCGGCUUAAUUUGACUCAACACGGGGAACCUCACCAGGCCCAGACACCGGAAGGAUUGACAGAUUGAGAGCUCUUUCUCGAUUCGGUGGGUGGUGGUGCAUGGCCGUUCUUAGUUGGUGGAGCGAUUUGUCUGGUUAAUUCCGAUAACGACGAGACUCUGGCCUAUUAACUAGUCGACGGAUCUCCAGCAAUUGGUGUCCAGUUCGCAACUUCUUCU